UACGGGGGGGGCAAGCGUUGUUCGGAAUUACUGGGCGUAAAGGGCUCGUAGGCGGCCAACUAAGUCAGACGUGAAAUCCCUCGGCUUAACCGGGGAACUGCGUCUGAUACUGGAUGGCUCGAGUUUGGGAGAGGGAUGCGGAAUUCCAGGUGUAGCGGUGAAAUGCGUAGAUAUCUGGAGGAACACCGGUGGCGAAGGCGGCAGCCUGGACCAACACUGACGCUGAGGAGCGAAAGCCAGGGGAGCAAACGGG
rnacentral:rRNA from 1 species